UACGGGGGGAGCAAGCGUUGUUCGGAUUUACUGGGCGUAAAGGGCGCGUAGGCGGCCAGCACAAGUCAGUUGUGAAAUCUCCGAGCUUAACUCGGAAAGGUCAACUGAUACUGUGCGGCUAGAGCGCGGAAGGGGCAACUGGAAUUCUUGGUGUAGCGGUGAAAUGCGUAGAUAUCAAGAGGAACACCUGCGGCGAAGGCGGGUUGCUGGGCCGACACUGACGCUGAUGCGCGAAAGCUAGGGGAGCGAACGGG
rnacentral:rRNA from 1 species